CUACGGGUCGCUGCAGUGGGGAAUAUUGCACAAUGGGCGCAAGCCUGAUGCAGCCAUGCCGCGUGUAUGAAGAAGGCCUUCGGGUUGUAAAGUACUUUCAGCGGGGAGGAAGGGAGUAAAGUUAAUACCUUUGCUCAUUGACGUUACCCGCAGAAGAAGCACCGGCUAACUCCGUGCCAGCAGCCGCGGUAAUACGGAGGGUGCAAGCGUUAAUCGGAGUUACUGGGCGUAAAGCGCACGCAGGCGGUUUGUUAGGUCAGAUGUGAAAUCCCCGGGCUCAACCUGGGAACUGCAUCUGAUACUGGCAGGCUCGAGUCUCGUAGAGGGGGGUAGAAUUCCAGGUGUAGCGGUGAAAUGCGUAGAGAUCUGGAGGAAUACCGGUGGCGAAGGCGGCCCCCUGGACGAAGACUGACGCUCAGGUGCGAAAGCGUGGGGAGCAAACAGGAUUAGAUACCCGUGUAGUC
rnacentral:rRNA from 1 species